rnacentral:rRNA from 1 species
GAUGAACGCUGGCGGCGUGCCUAAUACAUGCAAGUCGAGCGAACAGACGAGGAGCUUGCUCCUCUGACGUUAGCGGCGGACGGGUGAGUAACACGUGGAUAACCUACCUAUAAGACUGGGAUAACUUCGGGAAACCGGAGCUAAUACCGGAUAAUAUAUUGAACCGCAUGGUUCAAUAGUGAAAGACGGUUUUGCUGUCACUUAUAGAUGGAUCCGCGCCGCAUUAGCUAGUUGGUAAGGUAACGGCUUACCAAGGCAACGAUGCGUAGCCGACCUGAGAGGGUGGUAGGCCACACUGGAACUGAGACACGGUACAGACUCCUACGGGAGGCAGCAGUAGGGAAUCUUCCGCAAUGGGCGAAAGCCUGACGGAGCAACGCCGCGUGAGUGAUGAAGGUCUUCGGAUCGUAAAACUCUGUUAUUAGGGAAGAACAAAUGUGUAAGUAACUAUGCACGUCUUGACGGUACCUAAUCAGAAAGCCACGGCUAACUACGUG